rnacentral:rRNA from 1 species
GACGAACCGUGCGAACGUUGUUCGGAAUCACUGGGCUUAAAGGGCGCGUAGACGGGUGUGCAAGUCUGUGGUGAAAGCCUCCAGCUUAACUGGAGAAGUGCCAUGGAUACUGCACAUCUUGAGGAGGGUAGGGGCAUCUGGAACGGUCGGUGGAGCGGUGAAAUGCGUUGAUAUCGACCGGAACUCCGGUGGCGAAGGCGAGGUGCUGGACCCUUUCUGACGCUGAGGCGCGAAAGCCAGGGGAGCGAACCGG